rnacentral:rRNA from 1 species
GAGACCUCAGAUCAGGCAAGGCUACCCGCUGAGUUUAA